AUCUGCUUCUGGGGUUACCCAACUAAGGCAUUAGAUGACCACAAGGGCAGUUGUCACUGGGGGCUGGGUGAUUUGGACAUAGUGCUGGCAGCCUGCUGCUUAGCCUAAGCCCGAGGACCAUCAUCAGGACACAGAUACUGGGACAGCACACUCUGCCUCCACAUCUUCUGCAUGGUUAGUUUAAGUCUGGAAUGAAGAUUACUAGCAAAUAUAUGGACCAUACAACAAGCUGCUUACUCCCACAUCAUUCUUACUUAUUUAUUUAUUUUUUAAUUUUUAUUU
rnacentral:lncRNA from 10 species